rnacentral:rRNA from 1 species
AAGAGCAGAUGGUGGAUGCCUUGGCACCAAGAGCCGAAGAAGGACGUAGGAGGCUGCGAUAAGCCUCGGGGAGCUGUCAACCGAGCUGUGAUCCGGGGAUGUCCGAAUGGGGAAACCCAACUGGAGUCAUGUCCAGUUACCCAUGCCUGAACACAUAGGGCAUGCGGCGGGAACGUGGGGAAGUGAAACAUCUCAGUACCCACAGGAAGAGAAAACAACAGUGAUUCCGCGAGUAGUGGCGAGCGAAAGUGGAAGAGGCUAAACCGUAUCCGCGUAAUAGCCGGCAGGCGUUGCGAAUGCGGGGUUGUGGGGCCGUUCUGAAGAUUCUGCCGAAUCUUCGAAGAGUCAGAAAUCCAGGAUGUAGUCGAAGGCCAUGGAAAGGCCGGCAUAGCGGGUAAUACCCCCGUAGACGAAACACCCUGGACUCUUGAACGACACCCCAAGUAGCACGGGGCCCGAGAAAUCUCGUGCGAAUCUGGCGGGACCACCGCUAAGCCUAAAUACUCCUUGGUGACCGAUAGCGGACAAGUACC